rnacentral:piRNA from 1 species
CAAGUGCUGGGAUUAGAGAUGUGCG